GGGAAACUUUCGAUAUUCUAUUAAAUCAAACUUAAAUUUUAAGGUAUGAUUAUUUUAUACUGAUGAUCAGGAGGUUGAAGUGCAGAAAAAAUGCUUCAUUCUGAAGUGGCGUUUAUUAUAGAAAAAAUUGAGUAAUUAGCCGCACGAACUGCUUAUUUAUAAUUCAUGCAGUUAAUUGCACAAAAAUAAUGAAUACCAAAUACAAGCAGUAAACAAUAUAGUUUAUUUAUUCAUUUAGAAUUUGAACGCAGAGCUGGGGUUGCGUGGCAAGUAUUUCAUCUUAUUUUGACAGUAAUUGCAAAUACACAAGAAGCGAAAGCAAAGGAGGGGAGGCGGAGCAAUGCUUGAAGUCGCGGAGGCACUGACGCAGGAGGAGAUCACACUGGACGUAAUUACAAACGUGAAAGUGUGAGACUCUGGCCUGCAGGCGAAACACGCACGCGCACGAAUACGAAUUCACAUUUCGUCCGUGAUGUUCUUAUCGUUAUGUAAACUCCCCCUGUGUUCCGGCCUCACCCAACCCUUUGUGAUACCUUAAUAUUGGUAGAAUAUAUGGAUUUGUAACCAUACAUCUUAAGAAUCUUGAUUAGAGUAAACAAAAUAACUUUCGAUCGUUGUCGUGGACAAAAAAAAAAAAAAAAACAACGUUAUCCGCCCGCCGGCCCCCACCGAGCGCGACGUGGCCUCCUGCGUCACAGAUAAGGCCGAUGGCUCGGAAAAAAGAAUGACUUUUGUUCCGUCAUUUAUCUAAUCAGUCGAUAGCCUGAAUCAAUGGUUAUGUCAGUGAGUAGGUGGAGCUCAAUCCGACCACAUCUACACACGUUCAAAGGCAGUUCUUUUGGUUAAUUCGUCCCAAACCCUUCUUAGGCUGAGCUGCUGUUUAAAGAGAGCGUGUUGUAGCAGCGCCCGCAACAUGUGAAUGCAUAAUACCCGAACUUCAACUGCUGGACUACAAGCAAGACAAGCAAGGCAAACAAGACACGACCCAAGUAUCUGGUAUGUGACCAGACGACCCGCAGCAUCUUCCUGUGACGUGGUAAGACCUAGACCCUGGCUUCUGUUCACAAGGAUAGGCUGAGGUAAGUCCUCCUCUCCACCCUGUAUGCGGAGCUGGAUAGAAGGUAAAUCUGCAAACCUUUUGUGGCUACGUGCAUUUCGGCGUCACGAGGGGG